UAAUACGUAGGGGGCGAGCGUUGUCCGGAAUUACUGGGCGUAAAGGGUGCGUAGGCGGCCCUUUAAGUCGGAUGUGAAAGCCCGCGGCUUAACCGCGGAAUGGCAUUCGAAACUGGAGGGCUUGAGUGUCGGAGAGGGUAGUGGAAUUCCCAGUGUAGCGGUGAAAUGCGUAGAUAUUGGGAGGAACACCAGUGGCGAAGGCGACUACCUGGACGAUAACUGACGCUGAGGCACGAAAGCUAGGGGAGCAAACAGGAUUAGAUACCCUGGUAGUCCUAGCCGUAAACGAUGGGUACUAGGUGUGGGUGGUUUCGAUACCAUCCGUGCCGUAGUUAACGCAUUAAGUACCCCGCCUGGGGAGUACGUGCGCAAGCAUGAAACUCAAAGGAAUUGACGGGGGCCCGCACAAGCGGUGGAGCAUGUGGUUUAAUUCGAAGCAACGCGAAGAACCUUACCAGGUCUUGACAUCACCUAGCAAGCCAUGGAAACAUGGCCCUCCUUCGGGACUGGGUGACAGGUGGUGCAUGGUUGUCGUCAGCUCGUGUCGUGAGAUGUUGGGUUAAGUCCCGCAACGAGCGCAACCCUUGCCUUUAGUUGCCAGCAUUAAGUUGGGGACUCUAAAGGGACUGCCGGCGACAAGUCGGAGGAAGGUGGGGAUGACGUCAAAUCAUCAUGCCCCUUAUGAUCUGGGCUACACACGUGCUACAAUGGGUGGUACAGAGGGAAGCGAAGCUGUGAGGCGGAGCGAAUCCCAGAAAGCCACUCUCAGUUCGGAUUGCAGGCUGCAACUCGCCUGCAUGAAGUCGGAAUCGCUAGUAAUCGCGGGUCAGCAUACCGCGGUGAAUACGUUCCCGGGCCUUGUACACACCGCCCGUCACACCACGAAAGUUCGCAACACCCGAAGCCGGUGGCCUAACCCGUAAGGGAGGGAGCCGUCGAAGGUGGGGCGGAUGAUUGGGGUG
rnacentral:rRNA from 1 species